rnacentral:rRNA from 1 species
AUUGAACGCUGGCGGCAUGCCUUACACAUGCAAGUCGAACGGUAACAGGUCUUCGGAUGCUGACGAGUGGCGAACUGGUGAGUAAUACAUCGGAACGUGCCCGAUCGUGGGGGAUAACGCAGCGAAAGCUGUGCUAAUACCGCAUACGAUCUACGGAUGAAAGCGGGGGAUCGCAAGACCUCGCGCGGACGGAGCGGCCGAUGGCAGAUUAGGUAGUUGGUGGGAUAAAAGCUUACCAAGCCGACGAUCUGUAGCUGGUCUGAGAGGACGACCAGCCACACUGGGACUGAGACACGGCCCAGACUCCUACGGGAGGCAGCAGUGGGGAAUUUUGGACAAUGGGCGCAAGCCUGAUCCAGCCAUGCCGCGUGCAGGAUGAAGGCCUUCGGGUUGUAAACUGCUUUUGUACGGAACGAAAAAGCUCUCUCUAAUACAGGGGGUGAAUGACGGUACCGUAAGAAUAAGCACCGGCUAACUACGUG